ensembl:snoRNA SNORA72 Small nucleolar RNA SNORA72
CUGAAAAAGUCUAUUCAAAGAUUUUUUUUUUUUAAGCAGGGGAACAUUUGCUAUAUUAAGAUCACACGUGUGUCUCCAGACCUAGUUCUUUCUCUAGGUCUGGUUUUAUAAAGACUGGUGGUAAAC